UGUUCUGUGGCCUAAUUGGUUAAAGCGCCGGUCAAGCAAAUACGGAGUCGUGGGUUCGAAUCCCAACAGAACGC
rfam:Aedes albopictus isolate Foshan contig55905, whole genome shotgun sequence.